rnacentral:rRNA from 1 species
CCCAGACUCCUACGGGAGGCAGCAGUGGGGAAUAUUGCACAAUGGGGGAAACCCUGAUGCAGCAACGCCGCGUGAGUGAAGAAGUAUUUCGGUAUGUAAGGCUCUAUCAGCAGGGAAGAAAAUGACGGUACCUGAGUAAGAAGCCCCGGCUAACUACGUGCCAGCAGCCGCGGUAAUACGUAGGGGGCAAGCGUUAUCCGGAUUUACUGGGUGUAAAGGGAGCGUAGACGGCGAUACAAGUCUGAAGUGAAAGCCCGGGGCUCAACCCCGGGACUGCUUUGGAAACUGUGUUGCUGGAGUGCUGGAGAGGCAAGCGGAAUUCCUAGUGUAGCGGUGAAAUGCGUAGAUAUUAGGAAGAACACCAGUGGCGAAGGCGGCUUACUGGACUGUAACUGACGUUGAGGCUCGAAAGCGUGGGGAGCAAACAGGAUUAGAUACCCCGGUA